UACGUGGGGUGCGAGCGUUAAUCGGAAUUACUGGGCGUAAAGUGUGCGCAGGCGGCCGAGCAAGUCGAGUGUGAAAGCCCCGGGCUUAACUUGGGAAUUGCGCUCGAAACUACUUGGCUGGAGUGUGGCAGAGGAAGGUGGAAUUCCAGGUGUAGCGGUGAAAUGCGUAGAGAUCUGGAGGAACACCGAUGGCGAAGGCAGCCUUCUGGGCCAACACUGACGCUCAUGCACGAAAGCGUGGGGAGCAAACAGG
rnacentral:rRNA from 1 species